UCGGCUUAUUCCUCUCCUUACGGGUAAGGCAAGAAGUGCCUAUGUUCAUAUGGAUGUUGAUGAGACACUAAAUUAUGAUAAUGUGAAAACAGCAAUUUUGAAGAAGUAUGACAUUAAUCCAGAGACCUAUAGACAAAGGUUUUGUUCCCUGUAUGUUUAUCCUGAUGAGAGCCCCAAAGAGCUGUACGUGAGGCUAAAGGAGUUGUUUGGGAAAUGGAUUCCACCCAGAGGUGUGGAUAAAAGAGCAUGAUCCGAAAUCAGCUGCAGAAGCCUCCACCUUUGCUGAUGUGUUUGUGGCUGCUCGAAGGAAGGGCCAGCCAUGGAGUAACACUUCCUUUAAAGACAAGGACACCUGCAGGCCAGCUCCAUCUCGGCAUCAACAGGGUUCAGCAACAGGUGAGUAAAAUCCCUGCCAGAAAUGAACUGCCUGCAAAUAUUCAUAAUAAAUUUAAUAAAAUAAUUCCAGUUUGUUACCUUUGUGGGCUGGAAGGGCACAUCAAACCUAUGUUUCCACAAAACCCUUUAAAACUGAUCCAGAUGUGCUUUGUGUCAUGCCAAGACUCGGAUGUAAAACAAGAAAAGGAAUUCCAAUGAGAAUGACUACAGUAAAAAUCAAUAGGAGAAGACAUAAAGCCUUGAUAGAUAUUUGCAGUACUCAGACCUUGGUUCACAGACUACUUGUACCAAGUAGUAUGUGUACUUAUGAGACCAUCCCAUUCUGUUGCGUGCAUGGUGAUGAGAAGCCUUACCCUACUGCUGACAUAUUUAUUGAUGUACAAGGACAACCAUAUUUAUUGAAUGUAGGUGUAGCUGAUAACCUGCCAUUCCCAGUAGUUUUGGGUGAAGACCUGCCAGUGCUCUAUGAUUUGUUAAAACCAGCAAAAGACUGUAAUGUGGCUAUUACGAGAACCAAAGCUAAAGAAGUGAAUGAGCAUCUUCCAACUUUGAGUACCUUACCUUUCUUUGAUGCUGACUUAGAAACUAAACCUGGGAGAUCUAAGAAAUCAAGAAGUCAAAGAAAGCAAGAGAAAUUUAGAGGUACUACUGUAAAGUUGCCAGAUGAGGCUACCCCUGAUGAACCAUUGGGAUUUCAAAUGCCAAUAAACAUCAUUCAAGUUGUGGAGAUA